UGGGGAAUUUUGGGCAAUGGGCGAAAGCCUGACCCAGCAACGCCGCGUGAAGGAUGAAGUAUUUCGGUAUGUAAACUUCGAAAGAAUAGGAAGAAUAAAUGACGGUACUAUUUAUAAGGUCCGGCUAACUACGUGCCAGCAGCCGCGGUAAUACGUAGGGACCAAGCGUUGUUCGGAUUUACUGGGCGUAAAGGGCGCGUAGGCGGCAAUUCAAGUCAUCUGUGAAAUCUCCGGGCUUAACUCGGAACGGUCAGAUGAUACUGCUUUGCUAGAGUGCAGAAGGGGCAAUCGGAAUUCUUGGUGUAGCGGUGAAAUGCGUAGAUAUCAAGAGGAACACCUGAGGUGAAGACGGGUUGCUGGGCUGACACUGACGCUGAGGCGCGAAAGCCAGGGGAGCAAACGGGAUUAGAUACCCCAGUAGUCCCUGAG
rnacentral:rRNA from 1 species